rnacentral:rRNA from 1 species
CUUUAUAACAGCGCUCGAUACCCUGGUAGUCCACGCCGUAAACGAUGUCGACUUGGAGGUUGUUCCCUUGAGGAGUGGCUUCCGGAGCUAACGCGUUAAGUCGACCGCCUGGGGAGUACGGCCGCAAGGUUAAAACUCAAAUGAAUUGACGGGGGCCCGCACAAGCGGUGGAGCAUGUGGUUUAAUUCGAUGCAACGCGAAGAACCUUACCUACUCUUGACAUCCAGAGAACUUAGCAGAGAUGCUUUGGUGCCUUCGGGAACUCUGAGACAGGUGCUGCAUGGCUGUCGUCAGCUCGUGUUGUGAAAUGUUGGGUUAAGUCCCGCAACGAGCGCAACCCUUAUCCUUUGUUGCCAGCGGUUCGGCCGGGAACUCAAAGGAGACUGCCAGUGAUAAACUGGAGGAAGGUGGGGAUGACGUCAAGUCAUCAUGGCCCUUACGAGUAGGGCUACACACGUGCUACAAUGGCAUAUACAAAGAGAAGCGACCUCGCGAGAGCAAGCGGACCUCAUAAAGUAUGUCGUAGUCCGGAUUGGAGUCUGCAACUCGACUCCAUGAAGUCGGAAUCGCUAGUAAUCGUAGAUCAGAAUGCUACGGUGAAUACGUUCCCGGGCCUUGUACACACCGCCCGUCACACCAUGGGAGUGGGUUGCAAAAGAAGUAGGUAGCUUAACCUUCGGGAGGGCGCUACCACUUGAUAUGUCCC